UCAUUCAUGCAGCAGGCAUUUAUUGGGUGACUGCAGUACUAGCAAAGGUGCAAAGGAAAUGGAAGAUCUGGUCCCUGCAGAUAGAGUCUACCUGGGAGUGAAGUGAACACAAAGGGAAGGAGAACAGUGAAGAUGAAGAGUGAGAGGGACCAGUCUUGAUGGAACUGCAUCUAGAUUUGCUGAAGGCUGUUUCUCCCUUAGGUUGCCCAUUCCCUUGAGUCAAUAAAUACUGUUUGGUUUAA